CAAAACUGAAACCAAGUCUCCUCCUCUCUACCCCUUAGCAAAUUCCAAACAACACCUCAAAUCUCUCAACCAUCAUGCCUAACGAUCAACUUGAGAUGAAGGCCAUGAAAAAGAAAAAGAAAAAGAAGAGGCAUGGUAUCAUGGGUUAGUAGAAAGUUGGAAUGGGUGGAAUAGGUAAAAAGAGAGGGAAGUGAUGCAUCACGUGAAGAAAACGCAAAGGUUAUAAUUUUUCUUAAUCGUCACAUUCAUGAAUCGUUGAAGAGUGAAUACGUGGCAAUCGAUGACCCAUUGGUUCUGUGGAAAGCCUUAUGCAAAAGAUACAAUCACCAGAAAAUAGUGAUCCUCCCGAGAGCUAGAUAUGAAUGGACACACCUGAGAUUCCAAGAUUUCAAGUUAGUGUCUGAGUACAACCCAUCAAUGCACAAAAUCACCUCCCUGAUGAACUUAUGUGGUGAAAAUAUUUCUAAGGAGGUUAUGCUUGAAAAAACUCUGAGUACCUUUCAUGCCUCAAAUGUGCUCCUGCAGCAAUAUAGACAUAAUGGUUUUACGAAGUACUCAGAACUGGUAUCUUGCCUUUUGUUGGCUGAGCAGAACAAUAAGCUUUUAUUUAAAAAUCACCAAUCUCGCCUAAUAGGCUUAGCACCAUUUCCUGAAGUAAAUGAUGCAUCUCAGGAAGUGAAUGCCACCUCAUCUUGUGGUAGUUCCCACAGACGUGGGCGAGAAGGCAAGUGUGGCCGCUGGCAAGGGAAUAGAAAAGACCGUUGUGCCCUUUCAUAUGGCUUAGGUCCAAGGAGUAAUUCAUCCACGAGCGGCAAAAAUGCAUCCAGGAAUAAGGGGAAAGCGCAGACAAGCCAUGUGCCUAGGUCAUAUGUUCAAACCUCACUUUCGUCAAUAUUAUUUGUAUAAAAAAAGGGCAAUGAUUUCCCCACUCCUAUUUUAUC